CCACCUCACAAUUUCUCUGCCGCUUCUCCAUGCCCUAGAGACUACCGGGCUACUAGAUCUCAACUUUCUAUCCAUGCUGCUAUCCAAUCUCCAUGUGUUCCUUUGAUUUAGAAAAGUUUGCAUCGCAAGAGCAUUUGUGAGGUGGAGCAGGGGAGGUGGUUGGAUCGGGGCUGUUGGUGCUGCGACGCAGAGGCAGUGGUUGGGGAGACGUCGUGGUGCAGCCGAGGAAACUCGAGAGGCGGCGACUAAAGGAGGCUCUACUGGAUGUGGAGAAUCUCCAUGGCCGACGAGGUACACCGUACACAGGAGGCGGCGAUGCCAUGGACGGCUGCAGAGCCGAGGUGCGACGAGCAGAUGGGAAGUCGGCGAGGCGCACAGGAAGCGGCGGCGCCUUAGACGGCUGCAGAGGAGAGAGGCCACAAGGGGAGGAGGAGCUCAGGCGAAGCAACUCCUCGCUUCUGUCACCAUGUCCAAAGUCGUAUCCCUAGAGGCUGCAGUUCUCAAAAAAUAUAGAUCACAAUCUAAUUUGUCCUCUCCUUGAUCCCCUUCUUCCAAGGAUUGAAUCUCUUCAGUUCCAGAAUUCAAAUCAAUGCACAAUCAUCAUCUUAAACAACCACAUGAUCCAAUCCCAGCCUCCCUGGAUGCUUUGCUCCUCAAUAUUUAAAUCCCCUCAGUUUCACCAAGCACCAUGAUUUUUCAUAAGAAUUGAGUGUUGGUCAGUUGGAAGAUGGAGACAGUUUGAAACAGGUUGAGCGGUUGUCACCGUCGGCGAGGCUGCGAAGUGGAUGAACAACACUCCCUCUACGCAGGCAGGGUUCCUGCGGGCAGACAGCAAGAGGCACACACACGGUGGCAGCAGGCAGGUGGUGGGUGCGGCGACAACUGUGAGCUGCAUGUCUCCGGCAGCCGCGUCGCCUUCUACGCUAGACAAUUAUAUUAUACAUCUGCUAAGGGUAACCACAAGGUGUUCUUCACGGAGCUCAAUUGAGCUGAAUUAGUCGAGUUGUUGGGUAAGUAACUAAGCAUCCUUUUGUAACUAUGCUUUCAUCACGGAUUGGAAAGAUAGCAGGACAUACAUAUCAUCCACAUGCAAAGAACUGAAAUAAUUAAAGAUAGUGUGAAUUAGUACAAUUUACUGCAGAUUCGAGAACUAUUGUAAACAUUGCAAUGGAAUACUUCAGAUUUAGUAGAAUUUGUUGCAAGGUAAUGAUAUUAUGUAUAUAAAUGAUUGAAAACAAUUCAAUUAGUUGUUUCCUUCUGUGUUAUUUUUAAAAUAUAAUUUCACAGAAUUAGCCUUUUGAUUCAUUUUGUUUUCUAUGAUAAAUUUGCGUUUACUAUGUCAAAUGUAAGAAACCUAUAUAUUAAGAUGCCUUUCUUCAUGUAAACUGUGUAGACCUUAGAUUACUAGGUUGAUUGUAUUCUCUAUUUCUCUUAGCAUUGCUCAUUGUGCCUUGAAAGAAUGUGUUUCCAACAGUGCUAGAACUGUUUAAAAAUGUCAGCAAUGAUAUCGUCCGCAUCAUCAGUUGAUGAGAGAAAUAUGUGCAGAAGAUUUUUAUAGGAUCAUUUCAGGCUUAAACAUAAGUCGUAGAUAAUUGAUUUACAUCCAAUAACAACCUAGACAUUCAAUGAAAUGAAACGCAAACUCUUUUGCGUUUUCUCAAAAAAAAAAAAACCUAGACAGUGUUUGAAACUCAAGAUAUAAAAUU